rnacentral:rRNA from 1 species
AGAGUUUGAUCAUGGCUCAGAAUGAACGCUGGCGGCGUGCCUAACACAUGCAAGUCGAGCGAGAAAGUCUCUUCGGAGAUGAGUAAAGCGGCGGACGGUUGAGUAACACGUGAGAAUCUGCCCUUUAGUGAAGAAUACCUCCGAGAAAUCGGAGUUAAUACUGCAUACGUCCCUUCGGGGAGAAAGGUGGCCUCUUUGCUGCCGCUAAAGGAUGAGCUUGCGGGCUAUCAGCUUGUUGGUGAGGUAAAGGCUUACCAAGGCUAUGACGGCUAGCCGGCCUGAGAGGGUGUUCGGCCAGACUGGAACUUAGACACGGUCCAGACUCCUACGGGAGGCAGCAGUGAGGAAUCUUGCGCAAUGGGCGAAAGCCUGACGCAGCGACGCCGCGUGGGGGAUGAAGGUCUUUGGAUUGUAAACUCCUGUUGAGUGGGAAGAAACUUCUAUUGUUAAUACCAGUAGAAACUGACGGUACCAUUAGAGAAAGCACCGGCUAACUACGUGCCAGCAGCCGCGGUAAUACGUAGGGUGCGAGCGUUAUUCGGAAUUACUGGGCGUACAGGGUGCGUAGACGGCUUAUUAAGUCGAUUGUUAAAUAUCCCGGCCUAACUGGGAAAAUGCGGUCGAUACUGAUAGGCUAGAGGGUGGAAGAGAGAAGUGGAAUUCUCGGAGUAGCGGUAAAAUGCGUAGAUAUCGAGAGGAACACCGAUGGCGAAGGCAGCUUCUUGGUCCAUUCCUGACGUUGAGGCACGAAAGCGUGGGGAGCAAACAGGAUUAGAUACCCUGCUAGUCCACGCUGUAAACGAUGAUCACUAGACGUUGGUUUUGCUUAGCAGAAUCAGUGUCGCAGCUAACGCGUUAAGUGAUCCGCCUGGGGACUACGGUCGCAAGACUAAAACUCAAAUGAAUUGACGG